GACGAACGCUGGCGGCGUGCUUAACACAUGCAAGUCGAACGGAAAGGCCCUGCUUUUGUGGGGUGCUCGAGUGGCGAACGGGUGAGUAACACGUGAGUAACCUGCCCUUGACUUUGGGAUAACUUCAGGAAACUGGGGCUAAUACCGGAUAGGAGCUCCUGCUGCAUGGUGGGGGUUGGAAAGUUUCGGCGGUUGGGGCUGGACGCGCGGCUUAUCAGCUUGUUGGUGGGGUAGUGGCUGACCAAGGCUUUGCCGGGUAGCCGGCCUGAGAGGGUGACCGGCCACAUUGGGACUGCGGUACGGCCCAGAAUCCUACGGGAGGCAGCAGUGGGGAAUAUUGCACAAUGGGCGGAAGCCUGAUGCAGCAACGCCGCGUGCGGGAUGACGGCCUUCGGGUUGUAAACCGCUUUCGCCUGUGACGAAGCGUGAGUGACGGUAAUGGGUAAAGAAGCACCGGCUAACUACGUG
rnacentral:rRNA from 1 species